rnacentral:rRNA from 1 species
AGCGAACGCUGGCGGCAGGCUUAACACAUGCAAGUCAAGCGGGCAUCCUUGUGGUGUCAGCGGCAGACGGGUGAGUAACGCGUGGGGACGUGCCCUUCGGUUCGGAAUAACUCAGGGAAACUUGAGCUAAUACCGGAUACGUGCGAGAGCAGAAAGGUUUAUCUGCCGAAGGAUCGGCCCGCGUCUGAUUAGCUAGUUGGUGAGGUUAUGGCUCACCAAGGCGACGAUCAGUAGCUGGUCUGAGAGGAUGAUCAGCCACACUGGGACUGAGACACGGCCCAGACUCCUACGGGAGGCAGCAGUGGGGAAUAUUGGACAAUGGGGGCAACCCUGAUCCAGCCAUGCCGCGUGAGUGAUGACGGCCUUAGGGUUGUAAAGCUCUUUUCUCCGGGACGAUAAUGACGGUACCGGAGGAAUAAGCCCCGGCUAACUUCGUG